GCCAGACUCCUACGGGAGGCAGCAGUGAGGAAUAUUGGUCAAUGGGCGGAAGCCUGAACCAGCCAAGUCGCGUGAGGGAAGAAGGCCCUGCGGGUCGCAGACCUCUUUGGACGGGGAGCAAGGCCGCCGACGUGUCGGCGGAAGGAGAGUACCCGUAGAACAAGCAUCGGCUAACUCCGUGCCAGCAGCCGCGGUAAUACGGAGGAUGCGAGCGUUAUCCGGAUUUAUUGGGUUUAAGGGGUGCGCAGGCGGCGCGGCAGGCCGGCGGGAAAAUCGCGGGGCGCAACCCCGCCCAGCCGUCGGAACUGCCGGGCUAGAGUGGGCGAGAAGUGCGCGGAAUGCGUGGUGUAGCGGUGAAAUGCUUAGAUAUCGCGCAGAACCCCGAUUGCGAAGGCAGCGUACCGGCUCCACACUGACGCUGAGGCACGAAAGCGUGGGUAUCGAACAGGAUUAGAUACCCCCGUA
rnacentral:rRNA from 1 species